AUUGAACGCUGGCGGCAGGCCUAACACAUGCAAGUCGAACGCGUGGCGGACGUGUUACUUAUGUCUGGGCAUCUUCCUGAUGGCGGGGGUUCACUACUGGACACUGUUGCUACUUCCGCCUUCCUUCAGCUGUGCCCCGGUGGGAUUAGCUAGUUGGUGGGGUAACGGCUCACCAAGGCGACGAUCCCUAGCUGGUCUGAGAGGAUGAACAGCCACACUGGAACUGAGACACGGUCCAGACUCCUACGGGAGGCAGCAGUGGGGAAUAUUGCACAAUGGGCGCAAGCCUGAUGCAGCCAUGCCGCGUGUAUGAAGAAGGCCUUCGGGUUGUAAAGUACUUUAAGCGGGGAGGCGUUACCCGCAGAAGAAGCACCGGCUAACUCCGUGCCAGCAGCCGCGGUAAUAC
rnacentral:rRNA from 1 species